CUCAAGUUGCUUGUAUCGAGCGUCGCUGGGGAAACUCGUCGCGUGAUCCGCCGAAGGAAACACGUUUUGUACCUUGUUCAGCCAGCUGUGCUGUGAUGUGCUGAGCUGUCUCUUAAAUUAGACCAGGAACCAAACAGUUGCGAUUCCUCAGGAGGAGGCAGCCUGCUUGAUAUGCUCUAUUGGGUGUGCUCCGCAGUUCGGAGUCCGCUGUUCACAUCGCAGUUUAAACAAAAACAAUUACGUAUUUAAAGUGAGAGAGACGCAGCAAUAGAAAUAGCAACAAAAGCUCUUUGUGUGUGUGCUUCACCAACAGCCGAAUUUAUAUGAAAUAUUUGACAAUAAAGUGAGCCUAAAAUAAAGCAGUGAGCAUCUCUAGCAAACAGCCAACAGCAAACAGCCGACCAAAGACAGAGAACGUAUCUGUUGAGAGUGUGGCAAAAAAGAAAAACAAAAAGAGAAUCAGAGAAAAACAAGUUUUAUGCGCCAGCAAUUCUUGGAACUCGUGCAUUGUGAUUAAGCUGCUUGCGAUGAGGGAAAGGCAAAGAAUCUGAAUUAUUCAUUACUUCCAGCUGCGUGACAAACGAAUAUGCCAAAUCAAUUGUGAAACAUAAACAAUGAAUAAUUCCAUACCAAUUCAGCCAGUAGCAUGCACAAAAGAUACCCUGUAAAUAAGAAGGCCAAAAGCAUAUAGAAAUAUAUAUAGAAAUAUAAUCAAAUCAAAGCUAUAUAAGUAGCCCAGAUAGUCUUUCUCGCCAAUUGUCCGAUGCCAAUCGCAAUUGUCUAGAACUCACACUUGGUCAGAUACUCAUUGAAUCUAAGCAAUGGACGAGUUGCUCGACUCGAAUGUUCCACUUGUGGACAAGGAUAGCGGCUGCAGCGCCGUCAUACUGCCUGCCUGUAAGG
rnacentral:sRNA from 1 species